GCCAUGCCGCGUGGAUGAAUGGAACGUCGUCCGGGAGUAACGUACGUUCAGCGAGGACGAACGUGUUGAUGGCUAAUUAGCUGCAGCCAGUGGACCGUACCCGCAGAAGAAGCACCGGCUAACUCCGUGCCAGCCAGCCGCGUAAAUACGGAGGGUGCAAAGCGUUAAUCGGAAUUUACUGGGCGUAAAGCGCACGCAGGCGGUCUGUCAAGUCGGAUGUGAAAUCCCCGGGCUCAACCUGGGAACUGCAUCCGAAACUGGCAGGCUUGAGUCUUGUAGAGGGGGGGUAGAAUUCCAGGUGUAGCGGUGAAAUGCGUAGAGAUCUGGAGGAAUACCGGUGGCGAAGGCGGCCCCCUGGACAAAGACUGACGCUCAGGUGCGAAAGCGUGGGGAGCAAACAGGAUUAGAUACCCUGGUAGUCCACGCUGUAAACGAUGUCGACUUGGAGGUUGUGCCCUUGAGGCGUGGCUUCCGGAGCUAACGCGUUAAGUCGACCCGCCUGGGGGAGUACGGCCGCAAGGUUAAAACUCAAAUGAAUUGACGGGGGGCCCGCACAAAGCGGGUGGGAGCAUGUGGUUUAAUUUCGAUGCAACGCGAAGAAACCUUUACCUACUCUUUGACAUCCACGAGAACUUUAGGCAGAGAUGCUUUUAGUGCCUUUUCGGGAACUAGUGAGACAGGUGCUGGCAAUGGCUGGUCGUUCAGCUCGUGUUGUGAAAUUGAUUGGGUUAAGUCCCGCCAACGAGC
rnacentral:rRNA from 1 species